UUAGCAUAAAGACAACAGUAACUCCUGUAACAGUAUAAUACCGCAGCAGAGGUCACUAGAAUUGGCACUCAGAAAAACCUGGAUGCAUCUUUCCAGAUCUUCAGAUCUUUCAUCUCAUGAAAAAAGCACUGGGAUGGGCAUUUUCUUUUUCUUCAAGUCUAUUGGACAAAAAUGGAGCAAGACACCUCCACACCCCUCCUGCCUCUGCCCUCAUCAUUCAAGCACCCUUGUUUUGUGCAAAGUUCACUGCAUCUCCUUGGGGCUCAAUUCAGCAACCUUACAAUGGAAGUGCAUGGCAUAGAGGGACUGCCUAGAAUGCCAGCAUAAGCAUCUGUUGUCAAUGAAAAACUACAUGGGAUAUUGAAUUCUGACGCUUAGGAGGGGUCCCUGCCAUACACUGCCAGAGAGUGGUACCCAACAGAUUACUCCUGAGGAAAUGCAGCCUUCAUCGGAGAAAAAGGUUCUUCCACUCCUGGUUUAUAAGAAUGACUUUCUGGUGUUAUUUGGCCUGAAAUACGGGACUGACAUUGUGGAAUAAUUAUUUAUCAAAGUAAUUCUAUAUUAGCGAUAGGAAGGAUUCUCUUAAGUUUUCUAAUGAGCAGGCUGAAGCUCCAACAAGCUUCAGGUCUGCUCAUAAGAAAGGCUCACCCAAUGCUGCCACUGCCCCCCCCCACUCCACUACAACAGCCACCUCCUUCCCUUCUCACAUACCUAAAUAAACUAUUGAAUGUGGGCAUAUUGAUGUUAUUGGUAUUGGGUAUUGUUAACUGACCUAGGUGUGUUUUAAAUCAGGGCAGGGAUGGGGAACCUCAGGACCAGGAGCCAAAUGUGGCCCUCCAGGCCCUGGGGACUCUCUCUAGGCCACACCCCUUCCAAGACUACGUCUCUGACUGUGCUCUGUGCUCUUCUCGAGGUGCUUUGGUGUGGCUGGAAUGUUUCCUUGAACUGUGAAAAUGUUACUUGCUUAGCUGGAUUGAAGAUAGAGAGAUGUGUAUGUGAUUAGAAACCUUUGACUUUUGCGUGGCUGGAAUGUAACCUACCGCAUAAAGGAAAAAGUCACACUUGUUGCUCUAGCCUCCUUUUUCUGGCCUCACCCACCACUGGCAUGUGGCCCCUGGAAGAUUCCCUGCAAGGGAAUACAAACCUUGGGCUGAAAAAGGAUCCUCUGUCCCUGUUUUAAAUGAAUUGUGAAUUGCACAAGGGAAGGGCUGUGGCUCAGUUGGAGAACACAUGUUUUGCAUCCAAAAGGUCUCAGGUUCAAUCCCAUGAGGAUUCAAUACAUGUAGGGCUGGGAGAUACCCCUUUGGAAAUGCUAGACAGCCACUAUGUAGUAUAUUGGCCCUCCAGGCUUGCCAUACCAGGAACUGCUGAGUCAGCCUCAGGCUGUGGUAGUCAGUUCCAGGUCUGCCUUACAAGCAGCACCAUGCGGUGGGCCUUGUUCCCUGUAUAUGAUUAGUUAUAGUAAAGUUCUUGUUGUUGUUUAAAUAAUCUGUGUGGCUUCUUCCUUCAUGAUACUUUUCACUGGUGACGAGGAUGGGAUCUACUGAGGAACACAGCGUGUUUUCUUCAUGCAUUGCAACGGAUUGUAGAAGGUGACUAGGACCAACGCCUUGCAAGUUUUCUCCUGAAACAUCACACCUUGUGCCACAGUGGGAAGGAGCCCAGCUGAGCUAUUGAUGAACAGACUACUAACGACUCUGCUUGAUCGGUUGUAUCCUGACUUAACCGAGGACUGACCAAGGGAGUCCAUUGCAGUUCAAGAACCUGCACGGCUGUUCACCCCAGUGACCGGGUGUAUGUCAGGAACUACGGUGCUGGUGAAAUGUGUAUUCCUGCCACUGUGACCCAAGCCAUGGGCCCAUUGUCCUACAGGGCUCAAACACCGAACGGCCAUGUGUUACGUCAACAUGUGGACCAGAUGAGAGGACGAAGCCCAGCGCCAUCAGUUCUUUCUGAGGGUGCUGGAAACACUCAGGUGGAAAGAGAAAAUGAGCCAGUGGCUGCUCCUGAUGCCGGACAAGAGCAGUUGCGCCUGGACCCUGUAGUGGACCUGCAUGAACCAGAGCCAAAUGGGGAACUAGGGGAUGCACUAUCAGCUUCAAUGCAAAUUGUCGUCAAUCGACCUGCACCAGGGCUCGUCCCAAGUAUCUUCAGGACUAUGAGAGCUAGGGGGGAGGGGUGUAGUGUAUUGGCCCUCCAGGCUUACCAUACCAGGAACUGCUGAGUCAGCCCCAGGCUGUGGUAGUCCGUUCCAGGCCUGCCUUACAAGCAGCACCAUGCUGUGGGCCUUGUUCCCUGUAUAUGAUUAGUUAUAAUAAAGUUCUUGUUGUUGUUUAGA